GUUCACCAGGCACGAAUUUUUCACAAUGGGGGAAACCCUGAUGGAGCGACGCCGCGUGGAGGAUGAAGGCCUUUUGGUCGUAAACUCCUGUCAAACGGGAACAAGAAAGUGAUAGUACCGUUAGAGGAAGAGACGGCUAACUCUGUGCCAGCAGCCGCGGUAAUACAGAGGUCUCAAGCGUUGUUCGGAUUCAUUGGGCGUAAAGGGUGCGUAGGUGGCAUGGUAAGUUGAAGGUGAAAUCUCGGAGCUUAACUCCGAAACUGCCUUCAAUACUGCUGUGCUUGAGGACUGUAGAGGAGAAUGGAAUUCAUGGUGUAGCAGUGAAAUGCGUAGAUAUCAUGAGGAAGACCAGUGGCGAAGGCGAUUCUCUGGGCAGUUCCUGACACUGAGGCACGAAGGCUAGGGGAGCAAAACGGGAUUAGAUACCCCCGUAGU
rnacentral:rRNA from 1 species